AACACGUGGACAACCUACCCUCCGGACGGGUUUAAACCCGGGAAACUGGGUAUAAUCCCCGAUAGAUCUCGGUCGCUGGAAUGCCCCGAGAUCGAAAGCUCCGGCGCCAGAGGAUGGGUCUGCGGCCUAUCAGGUAGUAGUGGGUGUAGCGUACCUACUAGCCUACGACGGGUACGGGUUGUGAGAGCAAGAGCCCGGAGAUGGAUUCUGAGACACGAAUCCAGGCCCUACGGGGUGCAGCAGGCGCGAAAACUUUACAAUGCCGGCAACGGCGAUAAGGGGACCUCGAGUGCCAGGUUACAAAUCUGGCUGUCGUGAUGCCUAAAAAGCAUUGCAUAGCAAGGGCCGGGCAAGACCGGUGCCAGCCGCCGCGGUAACACCGGCGGCUCGAGUGGUAACCGUUAUUAUUGGGUCUAAAGGGUCUGUAGCCGGCCGGAUAAGUCUCUUGAGAAAUCCAGCAGCUCAACUGUUGGGCUUUCAGGAGAUACUGUUCGGCUCGAGGCCGGGAGAGGUGAGAGGUACUUCAGGGGUAGGGGUGAAAUCUUGUAAUCCUUGAAGGACCACCAGUGGCGAAGGCGUCUCACCAGAACGGACCCUGACGGCAGGGACGAAAGCUAGGGGCACGAACCGGAUUAGAUACCCGGGUAGUCCUAGCCGUAAACGAUACUCGCU
rnacentral:rRNA from 1 species